rnacentral:rRNA from 1 species
GGUUAAGCGACUAAGCGUACACGGUGGAUGCCCUGGCAGUCAGAGGCGAUGAAGGACGUGCUAAUCUGCGAAAAGCGUCGGUAAGGUGAUAUGAACCGUUAUAACCGGCGAUGUCCGAAUGGGGAAACCCAGUGUGAUUCGUCACACUAUCGUUAACUGAAUACAUAGGUUAACGAGGCGAACCGGGGGAACUGAAACAUCUAAGUACCCCGAGGAAAAGAAAUCAACCGAGAUUCCCCCAGUAGCGGCGAGCGAACGGGGAGCAGCCCAGAGUCUGAAUCAGCUUGUGUGUUAGUGGAACGGUCUGGAAAGUCCGACGGUACAGGGUGAUAGUCCCGUACACCAAAAUGCACAGGCUGUGAACUCGAAGAGUAGGGCGGGACACGUGGUAUCCUGUCUGAAUAUGGGGGGACCAUCCUCCAAGGCUAAAUACUCCUGACUGACCGAUAGUGAACCAGUACCGUGAGGGAAAGGCGAAAAGAACCCCGGCGAGGGGAGUGAAAAAGAACCUGAAACCGUGUACGUACAAGCAGUGGGAGCACCUUCGGGUGUGACUGCGUACCUUUUGUAUAAUGGGUCAGCGACUUAUAUUCUGUAGCAAGGUUAACCGUAUAGGGGAGCCGCAGGGAAACCGAGUCUUAACUGGGCGUUAAGUUGCAGGGUAUAGACCCGAAACCCGGUGAUCUAGCCAUGGGCAGGUUGAAGGUUGGGUAACACUAACUGGAGGACCGAACCGACUAAUGUUGAAAAAUUAGCGGAUGACUUGUGGCUGGGGGUGAAAGGCCAAUCAAACCGGGAGAUAGCUGGUUCUCCCCGAAAGCUAUUUAGGUAGCGCCUCGUGAACUCAUCUUCGGGGGUAGAGCACUGUUUCGGCUAGGGGGUCAUCCCGACUUACCAACCCGAUGCAAACUACGAAUACCGAAGAAUGUUAUCACGGGAGACACACGGCGGGUGCUAACGUCCGUCGUGAAGAGGGAAACAACCCAGACCGCCAGCUAAGGUCCCAAAGUCAUGGUUAAGUGGGAAACGAUGUGGGAAGGCACAGACAGCCAGGAUGUUGGCUUAGAAGCAGCCAUCAUUUAAAGAAAGCGUAAUAGCUCACUGGUCGAGUCGGCCUGCGCGGAAGAUGUAACGGGGCUAAACCAUGCACCGAAGCUGCGGCAGCGACGCUUAUGCGUUGUUGGGUAGGGGAGCGUUCUGUAAGCCUGCGAAGGUGACCUGUGAGGGUUGCUGGAGGUAUCAGAAGUGCGAAUGCUGACAUAAGUAACGAUAAAGCGGGUGAAAAGCCCGCUCGCCGGAAGACCAAGGGUUCCUGUCCAACGUUAAUCGGGGCAGGGUGAGUCGACCCCUAAGGCGAGGCCGAAAGGCGUAGUCGAUGGGAAACAGGUUAAUAUUCCUGUACUUGGUGUUACUGCGAAGGGGGGACGGAGAAGGCUAUGUUAGCCGGGCGACGGUUGUCCCGGUUUAAGCAUGUAGGCUGGUUAUCCAGGCAAAUCCGGAUAAUCAAGGCUGAGGUGUGAUGACGAGGCACUACGGUGCUGAAGUAACAAAUGCCCUGCUUCCAGGAAAAGCCUCUAAGCAUCAGGUAACAUCAAAUCGUACCCCAAACCGACACAGGUGGUCAGGUAGAGAAUACCAAGGCGCUUGAGAGAACUCGGGUGAAGGAACUAGGCAAAAUGGUGCCGUAACUUCGGGAGAAGGCACGCUGGUGUGUAGGUGAAGUCCCUGCGGAUGGAGCUGAGACCAGUCGAAGAUACCAGCUGGCUGCAACUGUUUAUUAAAAACACAGCACUGUGCAAACACGAAAGUGGACGUAUACGGUGUGACGCCUGCCCGGUGCCGGAAGGUUAAUUGAUGGGGUUAUCCGUAAGGAGAAGCUCUUGAUCGAAGCCCCGGUAAACGGCGGCCGUAACUAUAACGGUCCUAAGGUAGCGAAAUUCCUUGUCGGGUAAGUUCCGACCUGCACGAAUGGCGUAAUGAUGGCCAGGCUGUCUCCACCCGAGACUCAGUGAAAUUGAACUCGCUGUGAAGAUGCAGUGUACCCGCGGCAAGACGGAAAGACCCCGUGAACCUUUACUAUAGCUUGACACUGAACAUUGAGCCUUGAUGUGUAGGAUAGGUGGGAGGCUUUGAAGCGUGGACGCCAGUCUGCGUGGAGCCAACCUUGAAAUACCACCCUUUAAUGUUUGAUGUUCUAACGUUGGCCCCUUAUCGGGGUUGCGGACAGUGUCUGGUGGGUAGUUUGACUGGGGCGGUCUCCUCCCAAAGCGUAACGGAGGAGCACGAAGGUUAGCUAAUCCUGGUCGGACAUCAGGAGGUUAGUGCAAUGGCAUAAGCUAGCUUGACUGCGAGCGUGACGGCGCGAGCAGGUGCGAAAGCAGGUCAUAGUGAUCCGGUGGUUCUGAAUGGAAGGGCCAUCGCUCAACGGAUAAAAGGUACUCCGGGGAUAACAGGCUGAUACCGCCCAAGAGUUCAUAUCGACGGCGGUGUUUGGCACCUCGAUGUCGGCUCAUCACAUCCUGGGGCUGAAGUAGGUCCCAAGGGUAUGGCUGUUCGCCAUUUAAAGUGGUACGCGAGCUGGGUUUAGAACGUCGUGAGACAGUUCGGUCCCUAUCUGCCGUGGGCGCUGGAGAAUUGAGGGGGGCUGCUCCUAGUACGAGAGGACCGGAGUGGACGCAUCACUGGUGUUCGGGUUGUCAUGCCAAUGGCACUGCCCGGUAGCUAAAUGCGGAAGAGAUAAGUGCUGAAAGCAUCUAAGCACGAAACUUGCCCCGAGAUGAGUUCUCCCUGAGACUUUAAGUCUCCUGAAGGAACGUUAAAGACGAUGACGUUGAUAGGCCGGGUGUGUAAGCGCAGCGAUGCGUUGAGCUAACCGGUACUAAUGAACCGUGAGGCUUAACCUU